rfam:Pteropus alecto contig23996, whole genome shotgun sequence.
GGUUCCAUAGUGUAGUGAUUAGCGUGUCUGCUUUACAUGCAGAAGGUCCUGGGUUCGUAUCCCAGUGGAGCCA